rnacentral:rRNA from 1 species
ACUCCUACGGGAGGCAGCAGUGGGGAAUAUUGCACAAUGGGCGCAAGCCUGAUGCAGCCAUGCCGCGUGUGUGAAGAAGGCCUUCGGGUUGUAAAGCACUUUCAGUUGUGAGGAAGGUGGUGUCGUUAAUAGCGGCAUCAUUUGACGUUAGCAACAGAAGAAGCACCGGCUAACUCCGUGCCAGCAGCCGCGGUAAUACGGAGGGUGCGAGCGUUAAUCGGAAUUACUGGGCGUAAAGCGCAUGCAGGUGGUUUGUUAAGUCAGAUGUGAAAGCCCGGGGCUCAACCUCGGAACUGCAUUUGAAACUGGCAGACUAGAGUACUGUAGAGGGGGUAGAAUUUCAGGUGUAGCGGUGAAAUGCGUAGAGAUCUGAAGGAAUACCGGUGGCGAAGGC